GAUGAACGCUGGCGGCGUGCUUAACACAUGCAAGUCGAACGGAAAGGCCCAAGCUUGCUUGGGUGCUCGAGUGGCGAACGGGUGAGUAACACGUGGGUGAUCUGCCCUGCACUUCGGGAUAAGCCUGGGAAACUGGGUCUAAUACCGGAUAGGACCACCUUUUGGAUGGUGUGGUGGAAAGUUUUUCGGUGUGGGAUGAGCUCGCGGCCUAUCAGCUUGUUGGUGGGGUAGUGGCCUACCAAGGCGUCGACGGGUAGCCGGCCUGAGAGGGUGUACGGCCACAUUGGGACUGAGAUACGGCCCAGACUCCUACGGGAGGCAGCAGUGGGGAAUAUUGCACAAUGGGCGCAAGCCUGAUGCAGCGACGCCGCGUGGGGGAUGACGGCCUUCGGGUUGUAAACUCCUUUCGCUAGGGACGAAGCGCAAGUGACGGUACCGGGAGAAGAAGCACCGGCUAACUACGUG
rnacentral:rRNA from 1 species